GAUGAACGCUGGCGGCGUGCCUAAUACAUGCAAGUCGAGCGAACAGACGAGGAGCCUGCUCCUCUGAAGUUAGCGGCGGACAGGUGAGUAACACGUGGAUAACCUACCUAUAAGACUGGGAUAACUUCGGGAAACCGGAGCUAAUACCGGAUAACAUGUUGAACCGCAUGGUUCAACAGUGAAAGAUGGUCUUGCUGUCACUUAUAGAUGGAUCCGCGCCGCAUUAGCUAGUUGGUAAGGUAACGGCUUACCAAGGCAACGAUGCGUAGCCGACCUGAGAGGGUGAUCGGCCACACUGGAACUGAGACACGGUCCAGACUCCUACGGGAGGCAGCAGUAGGGAAUCUUCCGCAAUGGGCAAAAGCCUGACGGAGCAACGCCGCGUGAGUGAAGAAGGUCUUCGGAUCGUAAAACUCUGUUAUUAGGGAAGAACAAAUGUGUAAGUAACUAUGCACGUCUUGACGGUACCUAAUCAGAAAGCCACGGCUAACUACGUGCCAGCAGCCGCGGUAAUACGUAGGUGGCAAGCGUUAUCCGGAAUUAUUGGGCGUAAAGCGCGCGUAGGCGGUUUUUUAAGUCUGAUGUGAAAGCCCACGGCUCAACCGUGGAGGGUCAUUGGAAACUGGAAAACUUGAGUGCAGAAGAGGAAAGUGGAAUUCCAUGUGUAGCGGUGAAAUGCGCAGAGAUAUGGAGGAACACCAGUGGCGAAGGCGACUUUCUGGUCUGUAACUGACGCUGAUGUGCGAAAGCGUGGGGAUCGAACAGGAUUAGAUACCCUGGUAGUCCACGCCGUAAACGAUGAGUGCUAAGUGUUAGGGGGUUUCCGCCCCUUAGUGCUGCAGCUAACGCACUAAGCACUCCGCCUGGGGAGUACGACCGCAAGGUUGAAACUCAAAGGAAUUGACGGGGACCCGCACAAGCGGUGGAGCAUGUGGUUUAAUUCGAAGCAACGCGAAGAACCUUACCAAAUCUUGACAUCCUCUGACCCCUCUAGAGAUAGAGUUUUCCCCUUCGGGGGACAGAGUGACAGGUGGUGCAUGGUUGUCGUCAGCUCGUGUCGUGAGAUGUUGGGUUAAGUCCCGCAACGAGCGCAACCCUUAAGCUUAGUUGCCAUCAUUAAGUUGGGCACUCUAAGUUGACUGCCGGUGACAAACCGGAGGAAGGUGGGGAUGACGUCAAAUCAUCAUGCCCCUUAUGAUUUGGGCUACACACGUGCUACAAUGGACAAUACAAAGGGUAGCGAAACCGCGAGGUCAAGCAAAUCCCAUAAAGUUGUUCUCAGUUCGGAUUGUAGUCUGCAACUCGACUACAUAAAGCUGGAAUCGCUAGUAAUCGUAGAUCAGCAUGCUACGGUGAAUACGUUCCCGGGUCUUGUACACACCGCCCGUCACACCACGAGGGUUUGUAACACCCGAAGCCGGUGGAGUAACCUUUUGGAGCUAGCCGUCGAAGGUGGGACAAAUGAUUGGGGUGAAGUCGUAACAAGGUAGCCGUAUCGGAAGG
rnacentral:rRNA from 1 species